CGGAGCGUAGCGCAGUCUGGUAGCGCACCUGAUUUGGGAUCAGGGGGGCGCAGGUUCGAAUCCUGCCGCUCCGACCA
rnacentral:tRNA from 2 species